UUUAUAGGAGAUGAUAAUGGAAAUGUGAAAGGACUUGAGGUGGUUCGUGUGCGUUGGGAGAAGGAUGCCAGUGGGAGGUUCCAAUUCAAGGAAGUUGAGGGCUCAGAGGAAAUAAUCGAGGCUGACCUUGUCCUGCUAGCCAUGGGAUUCCUUGGCCCUGAGUCGGUUAGUAUUGUGACUAUCUCUUUAUAUUUUUAAAAAUCUGGUGCAAUUCAUUGUCCUUUAAUUAAGAUACAUUUAUGUUGUAUGGUUUGAGCACCAUCCCUCAUCGAUUCUUUUGCUCUUUGAUUUGAACAGACACUGGCAGAAAAAUUAGGUGUGGAGCAAGACAAUCGAUCAAACUUAAAGGCAGAGUAUGGCCGCUUCACGACCAAUGUGGAUGGAGUCUUUGCAGCUGGAGAUUGUCGACGCGGUCAGUCGUUAGUCGUGUGGGCAAUCUCAGAAGGAAGGCAAGCUGCUGCACAAGUCGACAAAUACCUGACUAAGGAAGAUAAGGACACAAGUGUAGAGGGUGAGAACCAAGAUUCCGUCAAGCGGCACCAAGACCUUCCCCAAAAGCAGCAAACUGUCAUGAAAUAGAUGAUCCAUCAGAUUGUUAUUGUUUGCGACAUUGAGCUGAAAUGGAACCCGAAUCCAAUACAUUCCGAA
rnacentral:lncRNA from 1 species